rnacentral:rRNA from 1 species
CCAAUAGCGUAUAUUAAAGUUGCUGCAGUUAAAAAGCUCGUAGUUGAAUUUCGGGACCAAUAUGUCGGUCGUGCCUCGGUACGUACUGGCAUCGUUGGUUUCUCCCUUCUGAAGAACCAUGAUGUCAUUUAUUUGGUGUCGUGGGGAAUCAGGACUGUUACUUUGAAAAAAUUAGAGUGUUUAAAGCAGGCUCACGCUUG